rnacentral:misc_RNA from 1 species
AACACGUAAUCACAACAGGGUGUUGCGGGGGUCGGGUGUGAGCCUGGUCCUCGUGAUGCCUUGCUGGCAUGCAUGCAUGGUGUUUCUUAUGAGGCAUCGUGGGUGUUGUGUUGGCAUGAUAACAAACCCCCGGCACGGCAUGUGCCAAGGAAAACAAAACAUAAGAAUGGUGCGUCUCGUGUUGCCCCGUUCGCGGUGUGCGCAUGGGUCGUGUCUUCUCAUUAACAAU